UGGCGGCGUGCUUAACACAUGCAAGUCGAACGGAAAGGCCCUGCUUUUGUGGGGUGCUCGAGUGGCGAACGGGUGAGUAACACGUGAGUAACCUGCCCUUGACUUUGGGAUAACUUCAGGAAACUGGGGCUAAUACCGGAUAGGAGCUCCUGCUGCAUGGUGGGGGUUGGAAAGUUUCGGCGGUUGGGGAUGGACUCGCGGCUUAUCAGCUUGUUGGUGGGGUAGUGGCUUACCAAGGCUUUGACGGGUAGCCGGCCUGAGAGGGUGACCGGCCACAUUGGGACUGAGAUACGGCCCAGACUCCUACGGGAGGCAGCAGUGGGGAAUAUUGCACAAUGGGCGGAAGCCUGAUGCAGCAACGCCGCGUGCGGGAUGACGGCCUUCGGGUUGUAAACCGCUUUCGCCUGUGACGAAGCGUGAGUGACGGUAAUGGGUAAAGAAGCACCGGCUAACUACGUGCCAGCAGCCGCGGUGAUACGUAGGGUGCGAGCGUUGUCCGGAUUUAUUGGGCGUAAAGGGCUCGUAGGUGGUUGAUCGCGUCGGAAGUGUAAUCUUGGGGCUUAACCCUGAGCGUGCUUUCGAUACGGGUUGACUUGAGGAAGGUAGGGGAGAAUGGAAUUCCUGGUGGAGCGGUGGAAUGCGCAGAUAUCAGGAGGAACACCAGUGGCGAAGGCGGUUCUCUGGGCCUUUCCUGACGCUGAGGAGCGAAAGCGUGGGGAGCGAACAGGCUUAGAUACCCUGGUAGUCCACGCUGUAAACGGUGGGUACUAGGUGUGGGGUCCAUUCCACGGGUUCCGUGCCGUAGCUAACGCUUUAAGUACCCCGCCUGGGGAGUACGGCCGCAAGGCUAAAACUCAAAGGAAUUGACGGGGCCCCGCACAAGCGGCGGAGCAUGCGGAUUAAUUCGAUGCAACGCGUAGAACCUUACCUGGGUUUGACAUGGAUCGGGAGCGCUCAGAGAUGGGUGUGCCUCUUUUGGGGUCGGUUCACAGGUGGUGCAUGGCUGUCGUCAGCUCGUGUCGUGAGAUGUUGGGUUAAGUCCCGCAACGAGCGCAACCCUUGUUCACUGUUGCCAGCACGUUAUGGUGGGGACUCAGUGGAGACCGCCGGGGUCAACUCGGAGGAAGGUGGGGAUGACGUCAAGUCAUCAUGCCCCUUAUGUCCAGGGCUUCACGCAUGCUACAAUGGCUGGUACAGAGAGUGGCGAGCCUGUGAGGGUGAGCGAAUCUCGGAAAGCCGGUCUCAGUUCGGAUUGGGGUCUGCAACUCGACCUCAUGAAGUCGGAGUCGCUAGUAAUCGCAGAUCAGCAACGCUGCGGUGAAUACGUUCCCGGGGCUUGUACACACCGCCCGUCAAGUCAUGAAAGUUGGUAACACCCGAAGCCGGUGGCCUAACCGUUGUGGGGGAGCCGUCGAAGGUGGGACUGGUGAUUAGGACU
rnacentral:rRNA from 1 species